AGACUCCAAGUAGGUUGUAAAAAUGUGAGCCAAGAUCACAAGAAUCUUGUUAACAAGGAGAUGUUGACACAUGAAACAUCAGCAAAGGAGACAAGAUAGCAAGUAAAUGAACACACUGCUUGGUGACAAUGCUCAGAAGGGAGAGCAGGAAGAAAGGCAGGUCCUUGGUUCUCACAAUCCACCACUCACCACUUGCUGACUCUUUUGUUGUCCAACUGGUUAAAUCCACACUCAAGAUGAAGGUCCUCAUUCUACAACAAGUCCUUAUCACUCAGCUACAUGCAAGUAGUCGUCACUUCCCAGGAGACUGGCUCAGUUUCUUGUUGUAUCUGCUGGUGAGAAACCCCAAUGCAGGGAUUAGCAGACAAAGCGAGACACAAGUGAUAUGUUCAAGACUUGUCAAGAGCAUAUAAUUGACAGGAAAAGUGGCUCCUGGGAUGAGAGCCAGCCAGAUCCUCUGGGAGCAGUGCCAUUGGCCAGGCUGGCACACAGGAACACAUGCUCCAGUCUCUCUGGACUUGACAGCUGCUUCAGCCUUUGACAUGACCUUUUGGGAUCCUUACUAACCUGCUCCAGGCAGUUGUCUUCCAUGAAUUCUUAUGAUACGGAUUUCCACACAAGGCUCCUUAUCUUUCCAUGUAAAACAAGCAUUUUUUUACUAAAUAUUUACAAUAGCAGAGAUGAAUUAUUUACUCAGUUUACAGUUUCAUCUCUGAUUUUUCUGUAUGUUUAUCUGAAUGUUGGGUGUUUCCAGUUAAUAUAUCAAAGCCACAAAAUGGAGAAACUGGGUAAUUUGCACUGAGAUCUCUGCUGUCAAAAUGGGCCAUGAAAAUACUGUUUAGAUUUCAGACUGUUUAUGUCUGGGCUGAGGGGGAGAGGUGGGCAUACAGGAGCCUCAGGAAAACAGCUUGGGUUGUGGGCGGUGUGUGCACCUAUGUGAAAGGGAACUCCAGAGAUAGUUACGGUGGUUUAAAUGAGGAUGUCCCAUGUAGACUCUUUUAUUUGAACACUUGGUCCCGCGUUGGUGGAACUCUUUGGGAAGGAUUAGGAGGUGAGGUCUUGUUGGAGGAGACGAGUCACUGGAAGUGGGCUUAGAGGUUUCAAAAGCCCAUGCCAUUCCCAAUUAUCUUUCUCAGUCUUGUGACUGAUACUCAAUACGUAAGCUCUUAGUUACCGCUCCAGUACCAUGCUUCCAUGCUCCUUACCAUGGUAGUCCUGGACUCUAACCCUCUGCAACUGUGAGCCCCAAUAAACAUUUUCUUUUAUUAGUUGCCUUAGUCA
rnacentral:lncRNA from 1 species